rnacentral:rRNA from 1 species
GACGAACGCUGGCGGCGUGCUUAACACAUGCAAGUCGAACGGAAAGGCCCUGCUUUUGUGGGGUGCUCGAGUGGCGAACGGGUGAGUAACACGUGAGUAACCUGCCCUUGACUUUGGGAUAACUUCAGGAAACUGGGGCUAAUACCGGAUAGGAGCUCCUGCUGCAUGGUGGGGGUUGGAAAGUUUCGGCGGUUGGGGAUGGACUCGCGGCUUAUCAGCUUGUUGGUGAGGUAGUGGCUUACCAAGGCUUUGACGGGUAGCCUGCCUGAGAGGGUGACCGGCCACAUUGGGACUGAGAUACGGCCCAGACUCCUACGGGAGGCAGCAGUGGGGAAUAGUGCACAAUGGGCGGAAGCCUGAUGCAGCAACGCCGCGUGCGGGAUGACGGCCUUCGGGUUGUAAACCGCUUUCGCCUGUGACGAAGCGUGAGUGACGGUAAUGGGUAAAGAAGCACCGGCUAACUACGUG